GUGGCUGUAGCUCAAUUGGUUAGAGCAUCUGCCUGUGGAGCAGAAUGUUGUGGGUUCGAGUCCCACCAGCCACCCCA
rnacentral:tRNA from 1 species